GGCAGAGGCAGAGGAGUCCAAGAACAUGAAAAAACGGAAGCUUGUCACCCACAUGCUGGGAAGGAUGUACGAGGAGUCAGGAGGGAUUUGAAGUAGGCAGAUGAGCGCAAGGCCCCAGGACUGCGGUGGAAUGAACCGCCCCCACCCCCAGGACGGAGUUCUAUCGCCCCACGGAGAAAAGAACAUUGUCCAGAGGCUGCCGUUGGUGGAAACAGCAAACGGCGAAGAAACGGCUGGAGGAGGGAGAAGACUUCGCGAGCAGAGCCUAACGCAAGCCCUGGGAGGCCGAUCCGAAGUCCUGCGCGCGGCCAUGCACCCUGGGCCUCCGCCCACUUCCCCUCCCUCGCGGCGCCCUCUCGACCCCCUGGGACCCGCGGACGAAACCGAGCCCGCGGAGCCCCGAUGCUCUCCCCCAGUAACUGUUGCAGAGGCGGGAGAACUUUUAUUCCGUAGCCAGAGUUGCAGACGGACUCCCGAAGCACCCAGCCGGGCGGUGGAGGGGAGCCUCUGCAACUGCAGCCCCCAAAGCGGACUGCGGCGGGGGCGGGCGCGAAGCCAGCGGCACCUCCGCGCCCCGGGGCCCCGCGGGGCAGCGCGGUCCCACCCCCAGCCCGGCGCGCCCUCGCCCGACCCGGCCCUCGGGCGCGCGCCUGCGCCUGCGCUUGCGCAAAACGCCCCCGCCCCAGCGCCUCUCCAGGUGCGCUCGCGCUUCCGGCCGGCCUUCCCGAGGCGGAAACACCAGAGCCCGCGCAUGCGCCUUCCAGCUCUCCUGCUAGGUCCGGGGAGGGGGGCCCAAGGCUUCAGGUGAUCCCGCCCCUCCCUCGCAGCGCGGGACCAAUCGCGAGGCGGUAGGCGGGAUUUUCGCGGAGGCGGCCCGCCCACACGCUCGCGAGGCGGGUUUCGAUUGGCUGGCGGCGCGGGCGCAGGUGCGCGCUUCCUAUUGGGUGUGGGCGGAGCGCGAGCCGCCGAGGCUUCUGCCGAGGCUGCAGGUGAGCGCGCGCGCGCCGCGGCUCCCUCCCGGGCUCGGGUGCGCGCGCGCGGGCCGGCGGGGGAGGCGGCCGGGAGCGAGCUCGCGGCGCCCGUCGCCUGUGCUCCGCCCCCUCCGCCGUCGCGGCCGCCGCCGAGGCCCGGAGGGAGGGAGUCGCGUCCCCGCCCGCCGCGCAGCCAGUCGGACCCUCGGUGCCGCCGCGAGCAGCCGGCCGAGCGGAGCUCCGCGCCCAGAAGCCGAGUCGCGGCCGCCGCUCUGCAGGUGCCGGUGCGGAGGCGCCCGGGCCGCAGCCGCGUCCCCGGCCCCGGCCCCGUCCCGCCGGCCGCGACUCCCCGCGCUCCCGAGGGGCGGCCCGGCCGCAGGAGGCCG
rnacentral:lncRNA from 1 species